rnacentral:rRNA from 1 species
GACGAACGCUGGCGGCGUGCUUAACACAUGCAAGUCGAACGGAAAGGCCCUGCUUUUGUGGGGUGCUCGAGUGGCGAACGGGUGAGUAACACGUGAGUAACCUGCCCUUGACUUUGGGAUAACUUCAGGAAACUGGGGCUAAUACCGGAUAGGAGCUCCUGCUGCAUGGUGGGGGUUGGAAAGUUUCGGCGGUUGGGGAUGGACUCGCGGCUUAUCAGCUUGUUGGUGGGGUAGUGGCUUACCAAGGCUUUGACGGGUAGCCGGCCUGAGAGGGUGACCGGCCACAUUGGGACUGAGAUACGGCCCAGACUCCUAAGGGAGGCAGCAGUGGGGAAUAUUGCACAAUGGGCGGAAGCCUGAUGCAGCAACGCCGCGUGCGGGAUGAAGGCCUUCGGGUUGUAAACCGCUUUCGCCUGUGACGAAGCGUGAGUGACGGUAAUGGGUAAAGAAGCACCGGCUAACUACGUG